rnacentral:sRNA from 1 species
AAAUAGCGAAAUGUCUAGCCAAGUUAGUUAUUUAUCGACUCGUGGUGGAUCUUCAAAUUUUUCUUUUGAAGAGGCUGUGCUUAAGGGUUUGGCUAAUGAUGGAGGAUUGUUUAUUCCAUCAGAAAUCCCUCAGCUACCUAGCGGAUGGAUUGAGGCUUGGAAGGACAAAUCCUUCCCUGAAAUUGCCUUUGAGGUAAUGUCUUUGUACAUUCCUCGCUCUGAAAUUUCAGCUGAUGAAUUGAAAAAAUUGGUUGAUCGCUCUUACUCUACCUUCCGCCACCCAGAGACUACUCCUCUAAAAUCAUUAAAGAACGGUCUCAAUGUACUUGAGCUCUUCCAUGGUCCUACUUUUGCGUUCAAAGAUGUUGCUUUGCAAUUUCUUGGUAACCUCUUUGAAUUUUUCCUUACUCGUAAGAACGGAAACAAACCUGAAGACGAACGUGAUCAUCUGACCGUGGUUGGUGCCACUAGUGGUGACACUGGUAGUGCAGCUAUCUAUGGCUUACGUGGCAAGAAGGACGUUUCAGUUUUUAUCUUAUUUCCCAAUGGACGUGUUUCCCCUAUCCAAGAAGCUCAGAUGACUACAGUCACAGGAUCCUAACGUUCACUGUAUCACUGGGGAACGGCGUCUUUGACGAUUGGUCAAGAUCUUGUUAAACAAUUUUUUGGGNGAUGNUGAGUUUAAUAAAAAGCAUCAUAUUGGGGGCCGUUAAUUCUAUUAACUGGGGCUCGUAUUCUCUCUCAAAUUACCUAUUACUUAUAUUCCUNAUCUUUNCCGNUUA